rnacentral:rRNA from 1 species
GACGAACGCUGGCGGCGUGCUUAACACAUGCAAGUCGAACGGAAAGGCCCUGCUUUUGUGGGUUGCUCGAGUGGCGAACGGGUGAGUAACACGUGAGUAACCUGCCCUUGACUUUGGGAUAACUUCAGGAAACUGGGGCUAAUACCGGAUAGGAGCUCCUGCUGCAUGGUGGGGGUUGGAAAGUUUCGGCGGUUGGGGAUGGACUCGCGGCUUAUCAGCUUGUUGGUGGGGUAGUGGCUUACCAAGGCUUUGACGGGUAGCCGGCCUGAGAGGGUGACCGGCCACAUUGGGACUGAGAUACGGACCAGACUCCUACGGGAGGCAGCAGUGGGGAAUAUUGCACAAUGGGCGGAAGCCUGAUGCAGCAACGCCGCGUGCGGGAUGACGGCCUUCGGGUUGUAAACCGCUUUCGCCUGUGACGAGGCGUGAGUGACGGUAAUGGGUAAAGAAGCACCGGCUAACUACGUG